GCUAUGACCAUGAUUACGCCAAGCUAUUUAGGUGACACUAUAGAAUACUCAAGCUAUGCAUCCAACGCGUUGGGAGCUCUCCCAUAUGGUCGACCUGCAGGCGGCCGCACUAGUGAUUGUAGUCAUAUGCUUGUCUCAAAGAUUAAGCCAUGCAUGUCUAAGUAUAAACAAAUUCAUACUGUGAAACUGCGAAUGGCUCAUUAAAUCAGUUAUAGUUUAUUUGAUGGUAACUUGCUACAUGGAUAACUGUGGUAAUUCUAGAGCUAAUACAUGCUGAAAAGCCCCGACUUCUGGAAGGGGUGUAUUUAUUAGAUAAAAAACCAAUGGGUGAAAGCCCUUCAUGGUGAUUCAUAAUAACUUCUCGAAUCGCAUGGCCUUGCGCCGGCGAUGCUUCAUUCAAAUAUCUGCCCUAUCAACUUUCGAUGGUAGAGUAGUGGUCUACCAUGGUAUCAACGGGUAACGGGGAAUUAGGGUUCGAUUCCGGAGAGGGAGCCUGAGAAACGGCUACCACAUCCAAGGAAG
rnacentral:rRNA from 1 species